GAGUUUGAACACGUUUUUAGAAAGAAGUGCAACACCGCUGCAGCUGCAAAAGAGAGAGAGACGGCGUAGAGAACACUGCUGCCCGGAUCAAUGCGAUGAAGAGGAUGAAACUGUGUCUGCUGCCUUUACAGAGGGGGAUCCAGAAAGGCAUACAGAGAGCAUGGCUGGACAGCAGCAGGAUGGUUCCUCAACUUCCACUGCACAGACUGACACAGUGAGAUGGAUGUUCAGGAAACACCAGAGCUUCAUUCUGUGGAAUUCAUGUGCAACUGUAUAAUUGAAUGUCCUCUAUGUAUUCCCAGUUAUCAGUAAAACAGAUUUACAAACUGCAUUUGAUGAGAAAAAUCCAAAAAACAGAUUAGGAGGGCAGAUCUGGAAAUUGAAAUACUGGAGCACAAGUUAGAGGUGGUGAUGGUCACAGGUGAAUUAUGUUAACUACUGGAACAUGAACUGAACUAUCUUUUAUUUGUAGGGAAUAAAGAAGAGCAAAUGAAAUGUGUAUCAUGUCUUUA